CCCCUCUAGGGGGAGCCUGUUCUAGAACCCGAUGACCCCCGUUUAACCUCACCUUCUCUUGUUCCCCCCCGCCUAUAUACCGCCGUCGUCAGCCCACCCUAUGAAGGCCCAGUAGUGAGCACAACUGGCAUAGCCCAAAACGUCAGGCCGAGGUGUAGCGUAUGAGAAGGGAAGAAAUGGGCUACAAUUGCUUAAACAGCUAAUACGAAUUGUAACGCUGAAAAUGCACACAUGAAGGAGGAUUUAGAAGUAAGGGGGCAAGCAGAGUGUCCCCCUGAAAUGGUUCUGAAGCGUGCACACACCGCCCGUCACUCUCCCCAAGCUAGACAAUUAAACUAUAAAUAAGCACUUAAACCCUACAAAGGGGAGGCAAGUCGUAACAUGGUAAGUGUACCGGAAGGUGCACUUGGAAGAAA
rnacentral:rRNA from 1 species